CAGACAAUAUUGACAUUACUAAUUUCGCGAGCACUGGGGAAUAAAUUAAAAAAUACAAAAUUAAUCCUGGGUACACAAUACUUGAUUAUCGAUAUAUUUACUGGAAUGCAGCAUAAGUUCAGCGAUACUGAGUACACAGGUCAUUGCCAUCGUGAGAAAUCCGCAGAGUCUACGACCCCAUCGGUCGAGCAACAGGGCGAGUAAUAACCCAGCUGGAAGUUCUGUGGCACAGGCGAUCGAGAACGACACGAACACCGAGCUCUGGAUAAGUUUUAAUGAAUACACGUGACCGUCGAACGAGAUCAGGGUGAAACACCUACAAGAUUGUAUCGGUUAUUUAUGAAGGUUUUCUCGCAACAUGAACUCGUAUCUUAUACUUGCCAGAAUGCAACUAGAAGAAUAGUGUUUCUCGCCAACCGUGGCGUUUUGAACAGAUCGAGCAGCGUCGCUGAUUCUUGAAUUUUGUCCAGUGCCUCCAUGUUACUCUGCAAGAAUUUAUUUCGAGAAUAAUUAACGAAAGAUAUAAUACGAGUCGUGCCUUUAGCCCUUACACAGUUCAAAAUUCAUAACACACUGAAAAGAAAUUUUAUUUUCAUUUUAUUCGUCAUUAAUAGAUAGCACGAACAGUGGCACUUUGCAUUCUGUUUUAUGGAAUUAGUCGGCAUGGCUUUUGAUAUCGAGAUUUAUUAAUAUAAUGGGUGGUUGGUUGAUUAAAUACUUUUCUGAUCCGAAAUACAGUCGGGAACAAAACUAAGUGGAUUAGUGGAGAAAAUGUAAAAAUUCAUUUCAAUCAUUUGCUGAACUAUCUGCAUAUUAUUAGAAGGAAAUAUAAUAAAUAAAACUCAAGUAUAUGAGGCUGAUACUAAUUUGAUUAUACUUUCUUCACAUCUAUUUCCAUUAACUAUAGCAGCUUAUUUUUAUCCCCGAUUGUACUUGUAAAUUGUAAAUAUUUUAUAAUUUCUAUAUAAAUUCCCAGAUUUACUUCAAAUUUUGUACGAGAUCGAUAUAAUACCACAAUGGAAUCGCGACAGUCAAGUUUCAUUUCAUAUUUCAUUUUUCAUCGCGUUUCAUUUUUAAAACCUGUCUAUGCAUGUUAAAAUACAUUCGCGAGUCUGUGUGUUUUCGACGUGAAUCAAAUAUAUCUGUCAGCACAGAUUCAAGCACUGUACCGUAUGAUUUCGCGUAAGCUUUCUAGAAUUCUAUUUGAUCGAACUUACGACGAAUAUAUUGCAAAUACGCGAGUCUGGAUUUCUGCGAUUGAUCCUAGCUGUUCUCCGUAGUUUCUCAACAACCUUGUCCAUCAUCCCGUUGGAAACGUACCAGCUUGAACAGAGCAAAUACGAGUGAUAUGGAUCGAUAAGUAAAUUUGCAUAAAUCUCAAAGCGCAAGUUGAGAAUUCGAAUAAUCGAACGAUUAGGAGUUUACUUACCGGGCGCUCUCGGGAAGAAUCCACGGUGUGAUAGCGACAGAUAACAGCGGUAUGGCAGUAACUAAUAGAACAUGGAAGAUUUAUCGAGUGAAACCGGUUAUUAUUAAUAUGGAGCAAUUGAUGACGAGCCGAAUGAACGAUACCAUCAACAUAAUUGUAGGAUAAUUGUAAGAUUAUAAAUAUAAUUCCGAUUUUAAAUUAA